rnacentral:rRNA from 1 species
AAUGAACGUUGGCGGCGUGCCUAACACAUGCAAGUCGAACGAGGUCCAUCCCGUGGCAACACGGGUGAAGACCUAGUGGCGAACGGGUGAGUAACACGUGAGGAACCUGCCCCGAAGACCGGGAUAACCCUCCGAAAGGAGAGCUAAUACCGGAUGUCCCCACCUGGCCGCAUGACCGGGUGAGGAAAUGGAUUCCGCUUCGGGAGGGCCUCGCGGCCUAUCAGCUAGUUGGUGGGGUAACGGCCCACCAAGGCAUCGACGGGUAGCUGGUCCGAGAGGACGAUCAGCCACACUGGGACUGAGACACGGCCCAGACUCCUACGGGAGGCAGCAGUGGGGAAUCUUGCGCAAUGGGCGAAAGCCUGACGCAGCAACGCCGCGUGGGGGAUGAAGGCUCUCGGGUUGUAAACCCCUUUCAGCAGGGACGAAUCAAGACGGUACCUGCAGAAGAAGCCCCGGCUAACUACGUGCCAGCCGCCGCCGUAAUAC